GGGUCGGGAGGCAGCCGGUGGGACGGCAGCCAGGUAUUGACCCCGUGACAACCCAUCUCGGAUGAGGAUCCCGCCGUGGCCCAGCGGCAGAGUGUC
rfam:Oceanicola granulosus HTCC2516 scf_1099521380027 genomic scaffold, whole genome shotgun sequence.